rnacentral:rRNA from 1 species
GAUCCUGGCUCAGGAUGAACGCUAGCUACAGGCUUAACACAUGCAAGUCGAGGGGCAGCAUGACGAUAGCUUGCUAUUGUUGAUGGCGACCGGCGCACGGGUGAGUAACGCGUAUCCAACCUGCCCUUGUCCAUCGGAUAACCCGUCCGAAAGGACGGGCCUAACACGAUAUGCAGUUCUUCAGCAGGCAUCUAACGAGAACGAAAUAGUGAAGGAAGGAAGGGAAGUAGGGGAGGU